CACGUGAGGAUUGACAGAUUGACAGUCCUUCCUGGAUCCUAGGGUGGGGGUGGCUGGGCCGUCCUAAUUGGGGGAACGGAUUGGCCGGGUAAAUUCCGUAACCAAACAAAAUCUUGGCCGGUUAAAAAGCCGGGGAAACUUAUAUUUAUCGCCCCGCGUCUACUUCUUAGAGGUACAAUUGGCGAUUAGNCACACGAGAUGGAGCAAUAACAGGUCU
rnacentral:rRNA from 1 species